UUUUUGUAUUAUAAUAAUGACUUUAUAAGGUAGUCUCUGUCUCUGUUUAACAGUCUGUCACCAGAGACCAAUGUCUAGGUAGUCUCAGAACCCAGUACCACUAGCUCGCUAUGUGAUUUAUGACUUUAUAAGGUAGUCUCUGUCUCUGUUUAACAGUCUGUCACCAGAGACCAAUGUCUAGGUAGUCUCAGAACCCAGUACCACGAGCUAGCUAUGUGAUUUAUGACUUUAUAAUGUAGUCUCUGUCUCUGUUUAACAGUCUGUCACCAGAGACCAAUGUCUAGGUAGUCUCAGAACCCAGUACCACGAGCUAGCUAUGUGAUUUAUGACUUUAUAAGGUAGUCUCAGAACCCAGUACCACGAGCUAGCUAUGUGAUUUAUGACUUUAUAAGGUAGUCUCUGUCUCUGUUUAACAGUCUGUCACCAGAGACCAAUGUCUAGGUAGUCUCAGAACCCAGUACCACGAGCUCGCUAUGUGAUUUAUGACUUUAUAAGGUAGUCUCAGAACCCAGUACCACGAGCUAGCUAUGUGAUUUAUGACUUUAUAAGGUAGUCUCUCUCUGUUUAACAGUCUGUCACCAGAGACCAAUGUCUAGGUAGUCUCAGAACCCAGUACCACGAGCUCGCUAUGUGAUUUAUGACUUUAUAAGGUAGUCUCAGAACCCAGUACCACGAGCUCGCUAUGUGAUUUAUGGAGUCCGUCAACUCAUACAUAUUUAGGUAACUUUAACCCGACGUUAGCCUCCGCUGCCACAUUAACCCAACAGAACGCAGAGCCAUAACAGUCCAUCUCUCUCUGCUCUGAUGUCACAUCGGGUUU